rnacentral:lncRNA from 1 species
GUUUGGGUGAAGUUGGCAAGGGGGUCCUGAAGCUUCCAGAGGGCUGGAGAGAUGGAUGACAGGAAAGAACUGGCAAUCAGAUAAAAACAGAAACAUGGCACAGGAGAGGGAAGGAGAGAUGAGAUGUGCAAAAAAGGGUCUUGGUAGAGGCACAGGAGAAGACCCAGCGUGGUUCAGGAGAGGACACGCACAGCUCACUGGGAAGGGCUCAUGGUGAUCAUCUUUGUAUGAGUCAGUGCUGAAGCAGUGAAGUGUCAGAUUUUAUCCAAAGAAGGAGCUGCACGUCGGCGCAGGGUGAAGCAUUUCUUGGAUAUACGUGAGUAUCUCGAUAGCCAUGUUCAGACAUCCACGGCUGGCCAGGCUGUUUCUGCCUGACCUGAGGCCACGUGGAGCUAUAUGGUGAUCACUUCCAUUUCCAAAGUGUCACCAUUCUUAUGAGCAAAAAAUUUCCCUUUUGGUGCAAACCCCAAAGGAGCAGAACGCAGCAAGUUCUGAUCACUAAAGAGAGGGAGCAGUCCGUUGCAUUUGCAAAUAAUAAAGUCCCAACUGCUGAAUCUCA